rnacentral:rRNA from 1 species
UACGGAGGGGGCUAGCGUUACUCGGAAUGACUGGGCGUAAAGCGCACGUAGGCGGAUCGUUAAGUCGGGGGUGAAAUCCUGGAGCUCAACUCCAGAACUGCCUUCGAUACUGGCGAUCUUGAGUCCGGAAGAGGUGAGUGGAACUCCUAGUGUAGAGGUGGAAUUCGUAGAUAUUAGGAAGAACACCAGUGGCGAAGGCGGCUCACUGGUCCGGUACUGACGCUGAGGUGCGAAAGCGUGGGGAGCAAACAGG